AAAUAAAAGUCAUAUUCAAGUAAAAUUUAAAUAUUUUCAUUAUUGAAAAUAAUUAUUUCUUUUUUUCUUUCUUUUUUCAGAUUUUCAUCCGAUUGUUCUGCUGCACCCCAAAGCCUCCACAGCACAGCACAGCACAGUCUUUGGCUUUUGUGCUGGAUGGAGAAACUGAGAAGUUUAUAAACAGAAGGCAUGGAAGAAGAGAGCAGGUCCUACAACAAAGAAAUUCUUCUUAAGGUAUAUGCUCCAAAUUUACCAUUUACCAUUGAGUUCACUGAGAUCUGACUAACUAUGUGUCUAUAUG